AGAGUUUGAUCCUGGCUCAGGAUGAACGCUGGCGGCAUGCCUAACACAUGCAAGUCGAACGGAGUAUAUCCGACAGAACCCUUCGGGGGGACGAUGGAUAUCACUUAGUGGCGGACGGGCGAGUAACGCGUGAGCAACCUGCCUUUCAGUGUGGAACAACAGUUGGAAACGACUGCUAAUACCGCAUAAUGUGUAGUCACCGCAUGAUGACGACACCAAAGGAUUUAUUCGCUGAAAGAUGGGCUCGCGUCCGAUUAGAUAGUUGGUGGGGUAACGGCCUACCAAGUCGACGAUCGGUAGCCGAACUGAGAGGUUGAUCGGCCGCAUUGGGACUGAGACACGGCCCAGACUCCUACGGGAGGCAGCAGUGGGGGAUAUUGCACAAUGGGGGAAACCCUGAUGCAGCAAUGCCGCGUGAGGGAAGACGGUCUUCGGAUUGUAAACCUAAGUAGUCAGGGACGAAGAAAGUGACGUUACCUGAAGAGUAAGCUCCGGCUAACUACGUGCCAGCAGCCGCGGUAAUACGUAGGGAGCGAGCGUUGUCCGGAUUUAUUGGGCGUAAAGCGAGCGCAGACGGUUAUUUAAGUCUGAAGUGAAAGCCCUCAGCUCAACUGAGGAAUUGCUUUGGAAACUGGAUGACUUUGAGUGCAGUAGAGGAAAGUGGAACUCCAUGUGUAGCGGUGAAAUUGCGUAGAUAUAUGGAAGAAACACCAGUGGCGAAGGGCGGCUUUCUGGACUGUAACUGAAGUUGAGGCUCGAAAGUGUGGGUAGGCAAACAGGAUUAGAUACCCUGGUAGUCCACACCGUAAACGAUGAGUGCUAGGUGUUUGAGGGUUUCCGCCCUUAAGUGCCGCAGCUAACGCAUUAAGCACUCCGCCUGGGGAGUACGACCGCAAGGUUGAAACUCAAAGGAAUUGACGGGGGCCCGCACAAGCGGAGGAGCAUGUGGUUUAAUUCGAUGAUACGCGAGGAACCUUACCCAGACUCAAAUGGGGGCCGGCAGGCGCGGAGACGCGCCCUCCCUCCGGGGCGGCCUUCAAGGUGCUGCAUGGUUGUCGUCAGCUCGUGCCGUGAGGUGUCAGGUUAAGUCCUAUAACGAGCGCAACCCCUACGUCCAGUUGCCAGCGGGUCGAGCCGGGGACUCUGGACGGACUGCCGGCGCAAGCCGAGAGGAAGGCGGGGAUGACGUCAAAUCAGCACGGCCCUUACGUCUGGGGCGACACACGUGCUACAAUGGCCGGUACAGAGGGCAGCCACGCCGCGAGGCGGAGCGAAUCUCGAAAGCCGGUCUCAGUUCGGAUCGGAGUCUGCAACCCGACUCCGUGAAGUUGGAUUCGCUAGUAAUCGCGCAUCAGCCAUGGCGCGGUGAAUACGUUCCCGGGCCUUGCACUCACCGCCCGUCA
rnacentral:rRNA from 1 species